rnacentral:rRNA from 1 species
UACCAGCUCUCCGAGUGGUAGGGAUGAUUAUUGGGCUUAAAGCGUCCGUAGCCGGCUUAGCAAGUCUCCUGUUAAAUUCAGCGACCUAAUCGUUGAGCCGCGGGAGAUACUACUAGGCUAGGAGGCGGGAGAGGUCAACGGUACUUCCGGGGUAGGGGUGAAAUCCUAUAAUCCCGGGAGGACCACCAGUGGCGAAGGCUGUUGACUAGAACGCGCUCGACGGUGAGGGGCGAAAGCUGGGGGAGCAAACCGGAUUAGAUACCCGGGUAGUCCCAGCUGUAAACGAUGCGAGCUAGGUGUUGGGGUGGCUACGUGCCACUUCAGUGCCGCAGGGAAGCCAUUAAGCUCGCCGCCUGGGGAGUACGGCCGCAAGGCUGAAACUUAAAGGAAUUGGCGGGGGAGCACCACAAGGCGUGAAGCUUGCGGUUC